AUGAAGCAGUGCUUUGCUUUUUGUGCCAUAUUUCCCAAGGAUUACAAGAUUGAUGUGGAGAAGCUGGUUCGACUAUGGAUUGCAAAUGGCUUUAUCCCAGAACACAAGGAAUAUAGUCUUGAAACCACUGGAAAACAUAUUUUCAGUGGGCUGGCCUCAAGGUCAUUCUUUCUGGACAUAGAGGAAAGUAAGCAAUCAAGGGGGUAUUAUUCAACUACAUGCAAAAUCUAUGAUCUUAUGCAUGAUAUUGCGAUGUCUGUUAUGGAAAAGGAAUGUGUUGUUGCAACUAUGGAACCAACUCAAACCGAUUGGCUUCCUGAUUCUGCUCGACAUUUGUUUUUGUCAUAUCAAGGAACAGAAGUUAUUUUGAAUGGUUCUGUGGAGAAAAGAUCCCCUGCUAUCCAAACCUUGCUAUGCGAUAGUUCUGUGCGAAGCUCAUUGCAACAUCUAUCAAAAUACAAAUCUUUGCAUGCAUUGAAGCUAUGUAUUGGGACAUAA
rnacentral:rRNA from 1 species